GGACAGGAUGUAACUGCUCUGGCGUUUCCAGAAUGGCUGCUGUGUAUCCAUCCCUAUGUUGUGAGGGCCUCGGGAGCAUCAAGACAUGAUUUUUUGCUGCCCUAAUGUCUGCUGUCUGCUAAGGUCCUGGGCAAGCAAGACCAGGUGCGAUUUCAGCAAAUGUGAAAAAAAAUGUACAAAUACAGAAGGAGAAUGGAAACCUAUUUUCCUAUUAAGCUGAGCAGAAGUAAU